UACGUAGGGGGCUAGCGUUAUCCGGAUUUACUGGGCGUAAAGGGUGCGUAGGCGGUCUUUUAAGUCAGGAGUGAAAGGCUACGGCUCAACCGUAGUAAGCUCUUGAAACUGGAGGACUUGAGUGCAGGAGAGGAGAGUGGAAUUCCUAGUGUAGCGGUGAAAUGCGUAGAUAUUAGGAGGAACACCAGUAGCGAAGGCGGCUCUCUGGACUGUAACUGACGCUGAGGCACGAAAGCGUGGGGAGCAAACAGGAUUAGAAAGUAGUCCGGCUGACUGACU
rnacentral:rRNA from 1 species